rnacentral:rRNA from 1 species
AUUGAACGCUGGCGGCAUGCCUUACACAUGCAAGUCGAACGGCAGCACGGGUGCUUGCACCUGGUGGCGAGUGGCGAACGGGUGAGUAAUACAUCGGAACAUGUCCUGUAGUGGGGGAUAGCCCGGCGAAAGCCGGAUUAAUACCGCAUACGAUCUACGGAUGACAGCGGGGGACCUUCGGGCCUCGCGCUAUAGGGUUGGCCGAUGGCUGAUUAGCUAGUUGGUGGGGUAAAGGCCUACCAAGGCGACGAUCAGUAGCUGGUCGGAGAGGACGACCAGCCACACUGGGACUGGGACACGGCCCAGACUCCUACGGGAGGCAGCAGUGGGGAAUGUUGGACAAUGGGCGAAAGCCUGAUCCAGCAAUGCCGCGUGUGAGAAGAAGGCCUUCGGGUUGUAAAGCACUUUUGUCCGGAAAGAAAUCCUUGGCCCUAAUACGGUCGGGGGAUGACGGUACCGGAAGAAUAAGCACCGGCUAACUACGUG